ensembl:lncRNA
UGGGUACUCCUGGGCCUCCAGAAGGCACCCUGUGCAGACUCACUCCCAGCCCUGACUCAUUCCUCAGCUCUCCUUGAAGACCAUCAUCAACAAGUCUUAGCUUAGCCUCUCCCUGGGGCUUGCCCUAUUGAAAUGCUCCCCUGGACACUCACCUGCGGCCACAGGUGCCAGGAGGGGACAGCAUCAAAGACAGUGGAGCCCUUCCUGGGCUUCAGCUGUCUGUUUCUUAAAGUAGCUUAAAUUACACACACUGCAAAGUCCAAGAAUUAAUUUUUUUCAAUUAAAAAAUAUUUUUAGAGAGUUGUAGGUUCACAUGCAACAGUAAGAAAUAAUACAGAGAUUCUCGUUUCCCCCAGUAAUAACAUCUUGCAUAAGAAUAGUUGUCAUAACCAGAAAUUAACAUUGAUCCAACCAGCCACUUUAUUCAGAUUUCACCAGUUUCACACUCACUUGUGUGUGUGUGUGUGUGUGUGUGUGUGUGUGGUUCCAUGCAGUUAUAUCACGUGUCCAGUCAUGUGACUCCACAGUCGAGAAACAGAGCAUUUCCAUCACCAGGAGGGUUCCUGGUGUUACCUUUCUAAUUGUUCUCUUCUCAGCCAGGUGUGUGCAGGUGAUACCUGAGAGGCACCGAGUAUGACUGCAUCAUGGCAAAUGGUGUCAGCAUGUGGAUGGCUCCAGGAUUCAGGGAACAUGCGACCGCAGAUUCACAGAUCACCCGGUGUCAGCCGUGUGUAAAGCAGAAGGACCAGUCCAGCAGUCACUCACUCCUCAGGGAAGAUGGCUUCCUGUGUGUGAACUUCCACUUUGACCCAAGGCUUCCCCAGCUGGCCUGGAGUCCCCACAGACCUGGGAGAUUGAUGCAUGGUUCCAUGUGGCCAUAGAACCUCCUUCCUGGAUGCAGGAUUUCUAGGUGUGAAUCUGGGAGAGCUGUUCCUGGAGCCCCUGGCCCAUGAGGCUCAGAUCCUUGAUGCACAGCCUGCUUCUAAGCCUCAUGGACUUUGACUCACUGUGAUUCCCCCACGGUGACCUCAUCAGCUUAUCUCAGGCUCAAAAACAUGCCAGCACUGCUCUUAACUUUAUAAGUGUUGGCAAGGUGUCAGACACUUGGUUUUCACAAAUGUCUUUGUCCCCUUAAAUUCCAGGGGAGGUGCCAAAAAGUGGCAUCCUAUCCACAGCCCAGGACUUGGAGGAAGUUACUUCUCACACUUGCCAACUCAGGUGUUUGAAGAACUGAGGUAGUGUUCUAAGCUGUUUGUGUGUAUUCUCUCAAUCCUCACAGAAUCCCAAUCAGGUAGGGGCUAUCAUCUCCACAUUUUGUUAAUGUGGAAACUAAGGAACAGAGAGGUUGAGUAAAUUAUCCCAAACUACACAGCUAAUUGAGGGAGUUUGAGGCUGUCCCAAAUGACAAUGAUGGCUCCCAAUUGCUUCAACUUGGUAUUCAAGACUAUGUCUACCAUACAGACUUUUUCUCUUUCUUUCCCUGACAACUUCCUCCUAGUUACUGAGUUAGAAUUUCAAGAGAAAAAUAAAUAAGAUAGAGGAUUUGAUCACCCUUUCGCUGUAUGUCCUUUUAAUUCUCCAACUCAGGGUGGAGGCAUGGGGGGCAGCUCAGGGUCGAGGUGGGGCAGAGGUGUCACAUACAGUGGGAAUUCAGGGGGGAUUCCCAGUUAGCAGCUCCAUUGCUCCCCAAAUGUGCCUAUUUGGCCCAGAAGAGCAGAGAGGAUCCUUGCGGGAGUGUCUCACCUCCUACUUGAAAGCCCUGGCCUGAACUCUCCUGCCUGUGUCCUGUGGACCCAGGCUGAGCCCUGAGACGGAGAUGAGCUGAGCUCCUCUGUGGGCAGUCACAGCCCAUCCCCAUAGGUACAGAGGAGACCCAGUGGGGAGAGCUCUUACCCUGCUGCCACCACCAAACUCGUGAAACUGGGUGCUGAGGGCAGGCUGACCGGGGAACCUGAACAUCCUAACAGCAAUGGACACACUUGGAUGAGUUUCACACCAAGAACUGCUGAGUACUGGGUAGGCUGGAUGGAGCAGAGAUGCUUCAACAGCCUGGGCUAGAAGUGGGCCUGACAGGGUAGAAAGAGGCUCAUGGGGUGGGAUUUGGGACUCCUCAGCCAGGCCCAGGGUGUCUGUGUACAAUGAGAGGAAUGGCUUCUGCUGCAAGACACAGGCUGGGCUCAGAGAACCAAAUGCAGAUGGAAAGGGUGGGGAGCAGCGGGCGGCUCAGAGGCAGGACUUGGGUCUCUUCCAGAGCUUCUAUGGGUCUGUCUCCCUGUCUCUUGGUGCAGGGGGCUGAGCCCUAUUCCACAGUAAUGAUGAGGGAGGGACUAAUCAAAGUGUAUGUGCCUUAGAGACCCUAUCUUCUCACCAAGCGUUGGGGCCAUGGUCUCCCCUACAUCCCUCCCACACCCACAGGUGCCCUGGGGUCAGGCGAACAAUGGGUAGAGAAGCCUAGUGAGCUGAAGAACCCUGAUCUUGGAGUUGUCCCUGCAAUCCCAUCAGAGGCCUUGACUCAGAGCUGCACACCUGCACCGGCUGAAGGAACAGGACCCCGGGCUGCAGGGGGCAGGCCACCUCGGAACCCUCUUCACUGAAGCACUGGAGCCUGGGCGGGUUUCCAUCAGCCAAGUCAAGUAAUUGAGCUCAGAUUAGAUUAAAUCCAGACACAUCCCAUGUUUAGUGCCAAUUACUCACAGCCAGCAGGGGCGGACGAGGGGUCUGGACUGUGUCACGUCGUGCCUUCUUGGAGGCUGACUGCUCCCUCCAGCUCAAGGUGAGCUGACCCAAAAUAACAACAGUCGUGUCUCUGGCUGUGUUUCACCUCCACCUGGCGCUUUGCAUGGAUCUUCUGCUG